rnacentral:rRNA from 1 species
AAACAAAUAAGUGUGUAGAUUAGGUAGUUGUAUAAUACUACAUUGAUUCUUUAUAGGAGUUUGUUUGUAUUUAAUUUGGCUUUGGUUAUUAUAUAAGUUUUUAUUAAAUUUAUACAUGCUAGGUUUAAAAAUGUUUAUAUUUAAAGCGUUUUGUUUAGAUGUAAUUAUUUGUACACGUUAAAUACUUGUAUAGAUGAUAAAGUUAUAUAGUAUAAUAUUAAUAUAUAAUAAGUAAGCUACGCAGUAUUUAUUUUUAUACAAUGAAUGAGAGUUUGAUAUAGUUAAUGUAAUUUAAAGGUGGUUAAAUUGGUGCCAGCAUCUGCGGUUAUACCAAUACUUUAAAUUUAUAUUUAGAUAGUAUAAAAUAAAGUAAUAAUUAAUAAAAGAAAAAUUAGAAUAGAUGAGUAUAGUAAUUGUAGGUAAAAUUUAAUUUCUAUAAUUGAUUAUAUUGUUCUAAGUAUUAGAUUCUUUGAAAGUGAGGUUUAAAGAGACUAGGAUUAGAGACCCUAUUAUUCUUUACUUUAAAAAUUUUAUUAUUUAAGUAGUAAGAGCUAGAAUAUAUUAUUAAAUGUUUUUAAUUUUAGAUGUGCUUGAAACUUAAAAGGCUUGGCGGUAUUAUAUAUCCUUCCAGGGGAGCUUGCUUAUUGAUUUGAUAUUCCUCAAUUUAUACUUACUUUUUCUUGAAUAAUUUCAGUUUGUGUAUUGCUGUCGUCAGUUUAUUUUGUAAAAAUUUUGGAAAAAACUUUAUAAUGAAUUGAUUAUAAUGUCAAGUCAAAAUGCAGCUUAUGAAAAAGGUUUAUAAAGUGAGCUACAAUUUGUAAUAUUUAAUCUGAUUGAGCCAUGUAAUUGGUUUGUGAAGUUGGACUUGGUAGUAAUAAAGGUAAAAUAGUGUGUUUUUAUGAAUUGGGUUUUAUAAUGCGUACAUAUCGCCCGUCGCUCUUGUUGGAAGAUAAGAUAAGUCGUAACAUAGUAGGGGUAGUGGAAGCUGCUCCUGGAUUAAAUAUAA